AUAUUAGUCAAUGCUCGCAAGAGUGAACUAGCUAACUGAAUUUAUAAUUAUCCGGUUUCCGGAAGAGUAUGUAAUAAUGCAAGAGUAAAAUAAUGAUACACCUCAUUGCUAUUAGUGUUGUCCAAAGUUGGUGCCAGAAGACUCGGUAAGGCCAAGAACGCAAACGUUAGUCACAUUAAACAGGCGUAAAGGGUGUGUAGGCAGCUGAUAAAAGCAAACUCUUUUUAGAUUAACUACUGAUUAUUGAAAAUAUUAAGGAUCAGAUUAGAAAGAGGGGUGACUAGAAGCUAGAAUCUUUAAGAGGUUAAACCGUAUAAUACUUAGUGUAGGGAUUAUAUCUUCAGAUAUUAAGGGGAAUACUAAAAAGUGUAAGCCAUUUUCCAAAAAAGAUUGACGCUGAGACACGAAGGUGAGAAAAGGGAAUAGGAUUAGAUACCCAAAGUACCUCUCACAGUCAACGAUGAAUGGUACUAGUUAGUUUAAAAAAAUCUAGCUUUGAUGUUAACGCGAUAACCAUUCCGCCUUGCGAGUACGGUUGCAAAACUGAAACCAAAAAAAUUAGUCGGCCUCGAAGCAAACGAAGUGAAGCAUGUUAUUUAAUUCCGAUAAUCCGC
rnacentral:rRNA from 1 species